AUUGAACGCUGGCGGCAGGCUUAACACAUGCAAGUCGAGCGGAGUGAUGGUGCUUGCACUAUCACUUAGCGGCGGACGGGUGAGUAAUGCUUAGGAAUCCGCCAUUUAGUGGGGGACAACAUUCCGAAAGGAAUGCUAAUACCGCAUACGUCCUACGGGAGAAAGCAGGGGAUCUUCGGACCUUGCGCUAAAUGAUGAGCCUAAGUCGGAUUAGCUAGUUGGUGGGGUAAAGGCCUACCAAGGCGACGAUCUGUAGCGGGUCUGAGAGGAUGAUCCGCCACACUGGGACUGAGACACGGCCCAGACUCCUACGGGAGGCAGCAGUGGGGAAUAUUGGACAUGGGCGGAAGCCUGAUCCAGCCAUGCCGCGUGUGUGAAGAAGGCCUUUUGGUUGUAAAGCACUUUAAGCGAGGAGGAGGCUACUAGUACUAAUACUACUGGAUAGUGGACGUUACUCGCAGAAUAAGCACCGGCUAACUCUGUGCCAGCCGCCGCAGUAACAC
rnacentral:rRNA from 1 species